AACGAACGCUGGCGGCAUGCCUAACACAUGCAAGUCGAACGAGAUCUUCGGGUCUAGUGGCGCACGGGUGCGUAACGCGUGGGAAUCUGCCCUUUGGUUCGGAAUAACAGUUGGAGACGACUGCUAAUACCGGAUGAUGACGAAAGUCCAAAGAUUUAUCGCCAGAGGAUGAGCCCGCGUAGGAUUAGCUAGUUGGUGUGGUAAAGGCGCACCAAGGCGACGAUCCUUAGCUGGUCUGAGAGGAUGAUCAGCCACACUGGGACUGAGACACGGCCCAGACUCCUACGGGAGGCAGCAGUGGGGAAUAUUGGACAAUGGGCGAAAGCCUGAUCCAGCAAUGCCGCGUGAGUGAUGAAGGCCUCAGGGUUGUAAAACUCUUUUACCCGGGAUGAUAAUGACAGUACCGGGAGAAUAAGCUCCGGCUAACUCCGUGCCAGCCGCCGCAGUAA
rnacentral:rRNA from 1 species